GUAGGUGAACCUGCGGAAGGAUCAUUAUCGUGGGGCUUCGGCCCUAUCGAGAUAGAACCCUUGCCUUUUUUGUACCUUCUGUUGCCUCGGCGUCUGCUUCACGGCGGCGCCAACGGGGCCAAAUAAUAAACUCUUUUUUAUCAUGAAAUAGUCUGAAAAAAAAAUAAAAGUUAAAACUUUCAACAACGGAUCUCUUGGUUCUG
rnacentral:misc_RNA from 1 species